rnacentral:rRNA from 1 species
UUGUCGAGACCCGAACGGACGAUCGCGAACCAGUCAACGCUCCCGCAGGGGACGGGGGGAGGGCGGACAUUCCAGCCGCACGACCGCCGUCGCCCCGGGGCCACAUUGCCGUCCCCGCCCCGCCACGCUGCGGGACGGGCGGCGGGAACAAUACCCGGCGCGGUGGGCGCCAAGGAACAAUGAUGUCGGAGAACGUCGCACGCCAAUCCCGGCGCGCGACGCGAUCCCUCCAUACGUCGAACUUUUACGACUCUCGGCAACGGAUAUCUUGGCUCUCGCAUCGAUGAAGAACGUAGCGAAAUGCGAUACUUGGUGUGAAUUGCAGAAUCCCGUGAACCAUCGAGUCUUUGAACGCAAGUUGCGCCCGAGGCUAUCCGGCCGAGGGCACGCCUGCCUGGGCAUCACGCCUCGCGUCGCUCCGCGCACCCUGCUUCCUCGUCCAGGGAGGCGGCGGUCACGGAUGCGGAGAUUGGCCCCCCGUGCCUCGCGGUGCGGCGGGCCGAAGUGCGGGCCGCCGGCCGGGACGGAUACGGCGAGUGGUGGACGGACACGUACGGCGCUAAAUGCCGCCUCCGACCCCCGGCCCCAACGGCGCAUGCAAAGGAACCCACGCCGAGCACGGCUCGGAAAACGAUCCCA